GAUGAACGCUGACAGAAUGCUUAACACAUGCAAGUCCACUUGAAUUUGGGUUUUUUCACUUAGAUUUGGGUGGCGGACGGGUGAGUAACGCGUAAAGAACUUGCCUCACAGCUAGGGACAACAUUUGGAAACGAAUGCUAAUACCUGAUAUUAUGAUUAUAAGGCAUCUUAGAAUUAUGAAAGCUAUAUGCGCUGUGAGAGAGCUUUGCGUCCCAUUAGCUAGUUGGAGAGGUAACGGCUCACCAAGGCGAUGAUGGGUAGCCGGCCUGAGAGGGUGAACGGCCACAAGGGGACUGAGACACGGCCCUUACUCCUACGGGAGGCAGCAGUGGGGAAUAUUGGACAAUGGACCAAGAGUCUGAUCCAGCAAUUCUGUGUGCACGAUGACGUUUUUCGGAAUGUAAAGUGCUUUCAGUUGGGAAGAAAAAAAUGACGGUACCAACAGAAGAAGUGACGGCUAAAUACGUG
rnacentral:rRNA from 1 species